GAGAAGGGUCAAAACUUAAGGAGAGGAGAAGAAGAGAAUGAAGAAAAGUUAAUUUCUAUUGGAAUUAACACUUGAAUCAAAUGGUUUUUGCUAGAAAUCAUCAAAGGUGAAAGGAUCAUAGAAGGCGUUGAAGAAUGAGAUUUUGGUGUUGGGAGGCAUUAACAAUCAGAUUUCCUUUUAUUCGGACAGACAGAUAUGGAACAAAGGUCGAGAUUAGUUGUAUCUGCAUAUGUCACCUUCUUAAUUUUGUAUAAAUGUUUUGUAUGAGUUUAUACUCCUUAUAGUCAGGGGCGGAGCUAGGACAAUUAUUUUGAGGGAGUCAAAUGAAUUUUUUAAGACUUUUAAGGAGACCAAAUAUAACUUUUUUAUAUUUUGAAGGAUUAAAAUGUCAUUUUUCAUAAGAAAAUUAAAAAAAAAAAAA